rnacentral:rRNA from 1 species
CGUCUAUAUACGUAUAGCAUAUCAAUAAGCGGAGGAAAAGAAACUAACUAGGAUUCCCUUAGUAACGGCGAGUGAAGCGGGAAGAGCUCAAAUUUGAAAUCUUCAAGGUUUACCUUGACGAAUUGUAGUUUAAAGAAGUGUUUUCUGUUGGAUGUUUUGGUAAAAGUUCUUUGGAAUAGGACAUCAUAGAGGGUGAGAAUCCCGUAUUUGACCAUUACUUUCCAGCUUUGUGAUACACUUUCAAAGAGUCGGAUUGUUUGGGAAUGCAGUCCAAAAUGGGUGGUAAAUUUCAUCUAAAGCUAAAUACUGGCGAGAGACCGAUAGCGAACAAGUACCGUGAGGGAAAGAUGAAAAGAACUUUGAAAAGAGAGUUAAACAGUACGUGAAAUUGUCAAAAGGGAAGCGUUUGACACCAGUGUUGUUUUCUCGAAAAUCAAUUAAAAAGGGCCGGAUUUUGUGUUGUAUUGACUUUAUCAGCUUUCUGCACUUUUUUCUUGUCUUUUUUAAUGCACUUUUCGUUUAACAAGUCAACAUCUAUUUCUUUUGUUGUAAAAGGGUCAUGAGGAAGGUGGCUUUCUUUUCGGAGAAAGUGUUUAUAGCCUUGUGCCUCUGCAAUCGGAGAGAUUGAGGUCUGCAGCGUAGAUCCUUCGGGGUUAGAUACGUUAGAUGCUAAGUUAUAGCUUUUCAUAGACAACUUGUUGACUAUGUUUAGUCUUGUAGCUUACUCGCUGACGCUAUUUUACCUACGCUUAGGAUGUUGACUGAUAUGUAGUCGUA